GGAGGAUUGCUCCAAGUUCAAGACCAGCCCAGGCUACAAAUUCUACUUUUGACAUCUGAUGAGUGAGAGAAAUUCACAGAAAGCCUGUAGGAUGUCAAGACGAAGUAACACUCAAGGAAGUAAACCCAACAAGUGAACUUGAUUUCAAGCAAAAUCAGGGAGUCAAAAUUCCUCCUCUGUGCUCAGCAGGAAUAGUUUGGAGGAGCCCUGGCUACCGAACUACUGGAAAAUUUUAUGUGAAAAAAAAAACAUUUAUCAACAAAACAGUGGGUGAGGCAAGAUGAUCACAAGUCGGAGGCCAGCCUGGGUAACUCAAGUGAUUUGGUAAGAAAUAAAGUUAAGGGGUUGGGCGUUAAUGCAAAGGCUCUGGUUUCAAUCUCCAGUA